GGAGAGGUGCCCGAGAGGUUGAAGGGACCGGUCUUGAAAACCGGCGUGGCUUCGGCCACCGGGGGUUCGAAUCCCCCCCUCUCCGCCA
rnacentral:tRNA from 1 species